GCGACUUAAACCCUCCCCAGAGUAACAAUUGGAGGGCAAAUCUGGUGCCAGCAGCCGCGGUAAUUCCAGCUCCAAUAGCGUAUAUUAAACUUGUUGCAGUUAAAAAGCUCGUAGUUGAAUUUCUGCGUUGCGUGAUUCUUGCUUUUUGCUUGACUUUCGCUUCGCUUUUUUUUUACUUUGAGACAAUUAGAGUGUUUAUCGCAGACUUUUGUCUUGAAUACUUCAGCACGGAAUACUAGAGUAGGACCUUGGUUAUA
rnacentral:rRNA from 1 species